AGUCAAGCUCUGGUUAGCCUCAUGGACCCACAUUUGUAUCCUGUGGUCCUGCAUGCCCACAAACUAUUUCCCUGCUGCCUCGGCUCUUUCUUCUUGUCCUCCCACCCCCAAAGACCUAUGCCAUUGGAUUGUGUUCUUGGCGACAGCACGCGAUGACCGGGUGAAGUCUGGUCAGUGUCAUAGCGUGGCCACUUGCCCUGUCCAAGACGCAGAACAAAUUUAAGACACUAUGUCUCGUAAUCUGAUAUAUAGCGACUGUCCUGAAUGGCAAAAAAAAAGGAUAAAACUCAACAUAAAGCAUUAUUACUUGUCAUAUACAUAUCGGCAGAAUAUAAUCAUUCUAAUAUUAAUACUUUUGAAACAAAUCACUCUUUAAACACUUGACAAAUGAGGAGAGGUAAUAAAUGAUGCGCACUGCUGAUGCCACUUCUUUGCUUUGUCAUGCAACUCAUUCUUUGGCAUAAUCUGUCACACAAGUAUAUAUUAAUCAACCAUUUGUUAAAACUACGGAUGCACAGUCAUUAUCGGCCCGAUAUUGGAAAAACGUCCAAUAUCGGGCCGAUAAAACUGGACCGUUAACGAGGUGUAUCAUUCAGCGGCGCGCUUGUCGCCGCCAGCGCAACGGCUGCUGUUGCAUUCGCUCGUGACAGUCAUCGAUAUUUUUACCAGUAUUAUUUGGCUACAACACCAAAAAUAGUCAUUAUCCUCUUUUCUUGCUUGCCGAGUCUUUGUCAAUAGGCUUUAGUAGUUUCUGUGCGUUUUCCCACAGGUUUUUGUGAAGAAGACAUCUUAGUCAUAUUAGUAUUCAUAUUACACUUCUAUCCCUGUCAAUCCAAUGUUUACAUUCAUGUAUACCAUAGCUCCAAAACGCCAUUAUUAUUGCAGCAGCAAUCAGGCUAUGCUCACAAUAACAAAACACUCCAUUGAGAAAUUGUCUGUUCACUAAUUUAACGGUAUUUUCUAUCAUAUUUUUUUAAAAAUUUAUAACAUUAGAAAUUGGAUACUGCUUACUAACAGUGAUUUCCUUGCUUGAGUCCAAAUAUUCAAGUUAUAAAUGCAGGAAUACUCUAAAAGGCAUGGGAAUCCUAUUAAUGUUCCUCCUCCUUACGAAGCACAGUUUAAACUGCAAGCUAUCAGUUACGCGGAGGAACAUGGGAAUCGAGCAGCCGCGAGAGAAUUCAAGAUCAACGAAUCCAUGGUUCGCAAGUGGAGGAAGCAGGAAAACGAGCUUCGCCGAGUCAAGAAGACUCGUAAAAGCCGGCAUCAUUUCUGAGGAGCCGCACGGCAACGAGACUGACUCGAACCUGGCGUGUUUGAUUGAGAACUUGCCCAGCUGUUCAUUUUGGGUAUAGAAGAUGAGGACUUUGAUGGAUUUGUGGAUGAGGAUUGAUCAAAAAAUAACAUGAGUACAUUGUUAAAUACUUCAAUAAAGUAAAACCGAACUCAGUUUUAAAAAACAUUGUUUUAGCGUUUAUGCAUGCUACCUUAUGUUUUAAGCUAGCGUAUGUUAUACCAUGCCUGCGCCCAAUAAUACGGUGCGCUUAUGUAUGUGUUAAAUAUAGAAAUAGACCCCGUAACUGAGACUGCGCCUUUUAACACGGUGUGCCUUAUGUUCGUGAAAAUAUGGUAAAUUUGCGUUUCAUCCUAUCACAAGGCAGCUCACUUUUUUGUAACUAUGUGACCUGCAAGUGAGAACAGCCUCUCACAUGGCACACAAGUGGCAGGGCUAAUCAGAUACUUGUGGGCCAAGACAGACAGAUGUGGAUGAGUUCCUGCUUGACUGGACCACCACUGGAGUGGGCUGAUCUGUUUUUGCUGAUGAUGGCCAUUACGCUGCUGUGCUACCACCUACAUAUAGACACUGGCCCGCUCGGCCCAGUACAAAUUUCUUUGUCUCCCAAAAUCUUCGCCCGCCGAAAAUGGCCCAAAAGUGCAUUUUUAGUGUCGUUCUGAAAUUCUUUUAUCACCAAAACAUUCUGUCCUGGACACGAUGUUGUGAUAACGUAAGGAGAAACUGUGACCAGCACCACCUCACUGGAUGAACAGGCACACAUUUGGGUCGCCUCAAGACGAUAGCUGAACCGAAGCUAAUGCUGCUAGCCUCAUACAGCAGCUUGUACUUUGCAGCCUGUAGAAUGUUAUUCUGCCCUCCCUGAGCGUGCUUUAAGCUGUUUGACACCCCAAUUAGAGUUUACUAUAAAACUAAACGCACUACAAAAAUAAUUACCAUCAUUUUAUAUUUAAAUACAAGAUACACAUCGUUUUAAAAAUCGAUGGGAAAACCCAAUGUCAAUUGGAAAACCCAAUUGACGGGCUAGCCUUUGGUCAUGGGACGGAUUUAUGGAUUCACACAACAACGCCAUAGUAACACAUACAGACAGGUGCAGUGUGCAGUGUUGACACUGCUAGCAAGAUUUGAAGGUAGCCUCACUUCACAACUCCCUCCCCCUCCCCCUCACCUCUGGCCGAAUCCACAUCCCUCGCAGGCGUGUACGCGCAAGUCACCAGCUGGCUUUACCGCUCUGGCCGAAUCCACAUCCCUCGCAGGCGUGUACGUGCAAGUCACCAGCUGGCUUUACCGUGGUCACCUUGUAGAAGCAACUUUGCCUUUUUCAGCAUGUCUUGUUCACCGAGUUCUCAAGAGGAGAGCACAGCUAUUCGUGACCACGGCCGACUACAACCCCUGGCCGAGUAUAUCUCUGGGUCGCAGACGAGGAGGAGAGAUUUGACAGACUGAGUUUAGAGUAAUCACGUUGUGAUAAAGACAUUUCUGCGACGUGACCCUAGCUCUAUAUUUUGACGAGAUAUCUGGGGAAGCUCCACGGACUUUUCAGCCCCUGAUCAAUGGAUUGGUGUUUACCAUCACUUCUGACACAUGACAAACCUCAUGGACACCAUCUUGAACGAGUGAGUUUUAUGCAGAGCGAGAUGAAUGUGGAAUGACAUCUGGGAAGCUGAUGACCUUUGUGACCCUGGAGAGAACAACAGACAAUUCUGCCAAGGCCGCCUAGCGCCAAUAUGUAAUGUAGAAAAUCCCCAAGGACAUUAUAUAUGAUUCAGACAACGAGGAAACAAAUUCCACAUUUUCAAAGCAUUGCUCCAGUAGAAAUGUGCAUGUUACAUUACUUUAUAAAUAUUUGUGGAUCCAUUUGCACCUUCUUUUUAAAUUUACUUACCUCUACCAUUUUUCAAUUAAAUUUUUAUAAAUAAAGAACUGAAAAUUAAUGUUUCCUUCUUCGCAAUUGCCACUCAGAAAUCAGUGUUACAUUUCGUAUCUCCUUCCUGUUCAUUAACAUCAGUGUC